rnacentral:rRNA from 1 species
GACGAACGCUGGCGGCGUGCUUAACACAUGCAAGUCGAACGGAAAGGCCCUGCUUUUGUGGGGUGCUCGAUUGGCGAACGGGUGAGUAACACGUGAGUAACCUGCCCUUGACUUUGGGAUAACUUCAGGAAACUGGGGCUAAUACCGGAUAGGAGCUCCUGCUGCAUGGUGGGGGUUGGAAAGUUUCGGCGGUUGGGGUUGGACUCGCGGCUUAUCAGCUUGUUGGUGGGGUAGUGGCUUACCAAGGCUUUGACGGGUAGCCGGCCUGAGAGGGUGACCGGCCACAUUGGGACUGAGAUACGGCCCAGACUCCUACGGGAGGCAGCAGUGGGGAAUAUUGCACAAUGGGCGGAAGCCUGAUGCAGCAGCGCCGCGUGCGGGAUGACGGCCUUCGGGUUGUAAACCGCUUUCGCCUGUGACGAAGCGUGAGUGACGGUAAUGGGUAAAGAAGCACCGGCUAACUACGUG